CUCAGAUGUUGUAAGUUUCCUCAGAUAAAUACAUCAGCUAAAUAUUAAUAAACACUAAUAAAAAAUUAUAGUAACAACCUAACCUGCAGAACUUUGGGGAGACGAGUACACCAUAAAAACUCCACACCAACUAGAAUGUCUGGUUGUGAAAUUCAAGCCUACGAUGAAUCGAUACGUGAGGUGGGAGCAGGACCCUCCGCGUCGCUAUGCAACUUUUAUAAUUGAUGGGGAAAGACAAUUUAGUGUCUCGCUCAAAAUUAAAACAGAAAAAACGAGGUGGAGACCUGAUGGAGUUUUUAGACCACACCGCCCCAUCGCGGAUGCAUGCGACUGAAGCACUUGUCACAAUUUAGGUCAAUAAUUGUGGUGGUCCUUGCCAGUGCCCUGCGAGGAUCCCAUAGUAAAUAUUAAAGGAAGUCGUCUUCGUCAAAUUUCUGCGAGUCCUGUCUGUUGCUUUUCGUUGCCAAUAAAGCACAUUUUGAAGUCGAGGAAGAAGGGGGAAGCGGUGUCGUUCCGAGCGCACAAACGGCGACUUUGGCAACUGUCUCUUACGCUGAGCGGCGCGCUUCUGUCACAUGUGAGGUUGCCAAGGCAGGAGCAGCAGGAGGAGGAAGAGGAGGACGUGUCUUGUGCAGUGAGGAGGCUGACCACGUGCAUACCAUGAAGGCAGUGGUGGAUGCUGUCUGGGCUGUGUGGAGCAUAGGGGCUUCCAUCUACGAUUAUGUGCACACCAACGCUAUGGAGGAACGAAUCCACGCUUUGGAAAAUGUCAUCACUGUCCACCAGUUUGUCAUCGUGGCUCUCACAGCAGCCCUAGUCAUCAUUGUAACUUACAUUAUACUAAGGCAGUAGCUCUUCUGCAAGGGGAGGACAUGUGCCAUUACAGGUACCACUCCAGUUUACCAAAACAACAACUUGAAAUAUUAUAGGUAGACCUUAUUUUAUAACAGGCCUUGCUAUUUUCCAACAAUCAGUAAGAUUGUUGUCUUUUCCCUGAAAGGACACCAUUCAAAGCCAUAUGACAACAGAAAACGAACCACUGGCUGGCAGAAGAGUACACUUUGUCGACAUCGGAUCUAAUCAACCAAUAUGAUGCUACAAAACAGAAGACCCAAGAUUGUGUUUAAAGAGACAGCAAUAGAAUGGGAUCUGGAAACUUUAACAAGAAAACUCAUAAAUAAAAAAAAAAGAAGUGUGACUUCACACUUACAAAGCUGCUAUACAGAGAGGGAUGAAGGCCUCGUUGUGAUAAGUGCCCUUAGUGACCUCUGAGCGGGCCUUGCAGCUAUCCUCUAAACCCCACCAAGUGGAAGAUGUAGUGGGGCUUGUAGCAGGUGGUUUCUGUUAAAUUCAUCCUUCUAUAGCAGUCUUAUUUCCUAAUGUAAAUGGUGCAACACUGUAGUUAAUAACAUUAUUUUUAACACUUGAAGAUGGGGAAAGCUUUUAGAUGUGUCUGUUCUGUUGCCAACCUAAUUUAUUAAUUCAAAAUAUUUUCAUUUCUUUUUUGUAGUUGUUAAAAAUGCUAUAUUUUGUAUGAGCAAAUAAUUUUUUAAGCCAGGCUGCUUAUGUGACUUUGUACAAUAGGUGAUGCUCUGGUCUACCAUUUAUGACAACUGCUUAACUAUUUUUGUUUUCUUCUAAAACAACUUAGGAAUCUGAUUAAAUAUACUAAUGCUGUUCAUUAACCCUGUAUGCAUUGUUUAAUGCAUAACAUAAGGAAGUGUUCAUGAAAUCAAUGGGUGUGAACUACUUUCUAUUUGCACAUGAUUGGCUCUGCUUAUGGUGCUGGGUAGCUAAUUCAAAACAUUGCUCAGGCAAAAAAGGGUAAAAAAAAAAAA